rnacentral:rRNA from 1 species
CGGGAAGAGCUCAAAUUUGAAAUCUGGUGGCCUCAGGUCAUCCGAGUUGUAAUCUAUAGAAGUGUUUUCCGUGCUGGCUCAUGUACAAGUCCCUUGGAACAGGGCGUCAUAGAGGGUGAGAAUCCCGUCCUUGACAUGAACUACCAGUGCUCUGUGAUACAUUUUCAACGAGUCGAGUUGUUUGGGAAUGCAGCUCAAAAUGGGUGGUAAAUUCCAUCUAAAGCUAAAUAUUGGCGAGAGACCGAUAGCGAACAAGUACCGUGAGGGAAAGAUGAAAAGCACUUUGGAAAGAGAGUUAAACAGUAUGUGAAAUUGUUGAAAGGGAAACGAUUGAAGUCAGUCGUGCUCUUUGGAUUCAGCCGGUUCUGCCGGUGUACUUCCUUUGAGUGGGGUCAACAUCAGUUUUGAUCGCUGGAUAAAGGCUGGAGGAACGUAGUACCCUCGGGUAAACUUAUAGCCUCCUGUCACAUACAGUGGUUGGGACUGAGGAACGCAGCACGCCUUUAUGGCCGGGAUUCGUCCACGUACGUGCUUAGGAUGUUGACAUAAUGGCUUUAAACGACCCGUCUUGA